AUACGGAGGUUGCGAGCGUUAAUCGGAAUUACUGGGCGUAAAGCGCACGUAGGCGGUCCGCUAAGUCAGGUGUGAAAUCCCCCGGCCUAACCGGGGAACUGCACAUGAAACUGGCGGGCUUGAGGACGGUAGAGGGAAGCGGAAUUCCGGGUGUAACGGUGAAAUGCGUAGAUAUCCGGAGGAACACCAGUGGCGAAGGCGGCUUCCUGGAUCAAUACUGACACUGAGGCGCGAAAGCGUGGGGAGCAAACAGGAUUAGAAACCCCGGUAGUCC
rnacentral:rRNA from 1 species